GCAGCUGUGAGUUCCCAAAGUGGGGGCUUCUGCUUCCAAAUAGCACAUUAGGCUGCACUAAUAGGGUGGUCUGGUUUCAGGACUCUAGGACCUUCCCUCUACUCUCCCAGAUCCCACCCACUGUAAAGCCACGGAGCCUGGUAAGAGGGUUGUUUGGCCGUGCGCUUCUACCAUCAGCCAUUGGGAAUGCUAUGGGAAGCGAGUCCGGAGACUGUCGAACUUCAAUCGGCAGCUCCUACAGCCAAUAACCGGCGCUGGGGGACUGCGUGGUGCGCGCGCACACACAUACUCCCACGUCCUCCCGGCACACCGCUUCGGCCAGCCAGUGUCACACGCUGCCUUGGUUUGAGCACCGAACGCACCAGUGGCCUGGAAAACUAACAGAAGGACGUUUGUUUGUUUAGAACUGAACACGGGCUCUAGCGAAAGUGCGCCCGCAAGCCCUUGGGAAGAGUCCAUUGGAGAUGAAAAACUUGCUUUCUGAAAGCUGUUCAAUAUGUGGCCUUCCUGCGGUGGUCCCUAAAUGCCUCCCUCCCAUGGAGUGUUAUAAAGUGACCUCAAAGGUCGUAAGGACCGCACAAACCCAGCAACUCUCUAAGGCCGGAUGCCCAUGGGUUGUAUUUCGGGGAUUCAGUGGUUCCUCAUAACUCUCUUUGCCCAGCUUCUCAGAGGCUCUGGGGAGGCGGGCGCUGCAGCUGUCAUAUCAUGUAAUGAUUUGGUUACUGCAAAGAAUGCGUACCGAUUUCUGGCACCGGCAGGAACGCGGACGAAUUGUGCUGGAGGCCGGACCGUGACAUCUCAGUGAACUCUGCCUGGCCACCCCACCAAGUUCAGCCUGCGCCUGCUUACAAGAUGAGCCCGGCAAGCUAGCAGGCUGGAAAUGGCCACAAGGAAAAACAAUUUUUAAAAAAUAAAUACGAAAUGUAACUGACCAUCAA